GACGAACGCUGGCGGCGUGCCUAAUACAUGCAAGUCGAACGCAGUUGCGAACGGGUGAGUAACGCGUCGGUAACUGCCUCAUAGCGGGGGAUAACUAUUGGAAACGCUAGCUAAUACCGCAUACUGUGAGAUGGACCUGCUUUGUAUUAGCUAGUUGGUGAGGUAAAGGCUCACCAAGGCGACGAUACAUAGCCGACCUGAGAGGGGGAUCGGCCACACUGGGAAUGAGAAACGGCCCAGAACCCGUCGGGAGGCAGCAGGAGGGAAUCUUCGGCAAUGGACGGAAUGCUGACCGAGCAACGGCGCGGGAGUGAAGAAGGGUUUCGGAUCGUAAAGCUCUGUUGUUAGAGAAGCGGUAACUAACAAGAAAGGGACGGCUAACUACGUGCCAGCAGCCGCGGUAAUUC
rnacentral:rRNA from 1 species